UACGUAGGUGGCAAGCGUUGUUCGGAAUAACUGGGCGUAAAGGAUGCGUAGGCGGUUAAACAAGUUAUAUGUUAAAUAUAUAGGCUUAACCUGUAGAAAGCAUAUAAAACUGUUUAACUAGAGUGCAGGAGAGGUAAGUGGAAUUCCUAGUGUAGCGGUGAAAUGCGUAGAGAUUAGGAAGAACACCAGUGGCGAAGGCGACUUACUGGACUGUAACUGACGCUGAGGCAUGAGAGCAUGGGGAGCAAACA
rnacentral:rRNA from 1 species